rnacentral:rRNA from 1 species
UUCCAUUGAUCCUGUGGAAGGAUGCUGCUAUCAGAGUUCGGUUAAGCCAUGCAGGUCCUGGGGUCGCAAGACACCGGCAGGCUGCUCAGUAACACGUAGAUAACCUACCUUAUGGUCCGGGAUAGCCUUGAGAAAUUGAGGGUAAAAUCGGAUAGGAGGCUUUGUCUGGAACGAAUCGCCUUUCAAAAGCAAUGCCAUAAGACGGGUCUGCGGCCGAUUAGGUUGUUGGCGGGGUAACGGCCCACCAAGCCUUUGAUCGGUAAGGGCCUUGAGAGAGGUUGCCCUGAGAGGGACACUGAGAUACUGGUCCCAGCCCUACGGGGUGCAGCAGGCGCGAGAACUUUACAAUGCACGAAAGUGUGAUAGGGGAACUCUGAGUGCUCAUACACUAGUAUGGGCUUUUGUCGAGGGUAAAUACCUUGAUGAAUAAGUGGUGGGCAAGACUGGUGCCAGCCGCCGCGGUAACCCCAGCGCCACAAGUGGCAUCCGCAUUUAUUGGGCCUAAAGCGUCCGUAGCCGGCUUUGUAAAUCUCUUGUGAAAGGGUAGCGCUUCACGUUGCCAAGGGCAGGAGACACUGCAAAGCUUGGGAUUGGGAGGGGUACGGGGUAUGGGUAGGGAAGCGGUAAAAUGUUAUAAUCCUGCCUAGACCACCAGUGGCGAAGGCGCCGUACCAGAACAAAUCCGACGGUGAGAGACGAAAGCUAGGGGAGCGAUCCGGAUUAGAUACCCGAGUAGUCCUAGCUGUAAACGCUGCGAGCUAGGUGUCGCGCAAUCUCCAUGAUUGCGCGGUGUCGGAGCGCGAAGGCAUUAAGCUCGCCGCCUGGGAAGUAUAGUCGCAAGGCCGAAACUUAAAGGAAUUGGCGGGGGAGCACCACAAGGGGUGCGGCGUGCGGUUUAAUCCAACUCAACGCGGAAAACCUCACUAGGGUCGACGGCAGGAUGAAGGUCAGUCUGAAGGGCUUACCUGACGAGCCGAGAGGAGGUGCAUGGCCGUCGUCAGCUCGUGUCGUGGGAUGUCAUGUUAAGUCAUGCAACGAGCAAGACCUGUACCUGUAAUUGCCAACGGAGAAGCUUGCUUCAGACCGGGCACAUUAUAGGGACUGCCUUCGAAAGAAGGAGGAAGGCGCAGGCUACGGUAGGUCUGUAUGCCCCGAAUACUCUAGGCUACACGCGCGCAACAAUGGUAGGAACAAUGGGAUGCAACUCCGAAAGGAGAAGCUAAACCUCGAAAUCCUACCCUAGUUCAGAUUGAGGGCUGCAACUCGCCCUCACGACGAUGGAAUCCCUAGUAAUCAGAAGUAAGCAUCUUCCGGUGAAUAUGUCCCUGCUCCUUGCACACACCGCCCGUCAAACCAACCGAGCAGGGCUUAGAUGAGUUCUAGCAUACUUUGGUUAGCCCGAAUCUAAGCUCAGUGAGGUGGGUUAAGUCGUCACAAGGUA